UACGUAGGGUGCAAGCGUUGUCCGGAAUUAUUGGGCGUAAAGAGCUCGUAGGCGGUUUGUUGCGUCGGCUGUGAAAUCCCGAGGCUCAACCUCGGGUCUGCAGUCGAUACGAGCAAACUAGAGUGUUGCAGGGGAGACUGGGAUUCCUGGUGUAGCGGUGAAAUGCGCAGAUACCAGGAGGAACACCGAUGGCGAAGGCAGCUCGCUGGGACGGUACUGACGCUGAGGCGCGAAAGCGUGGGGAGCAAACAGG
rnacentral:rRNA from 1 species